rnacentral:lncRNA from 1 species
GCUAUUAGAAGGAGAAGUUAGAAGAUUAGAAAAGUAUGAGAAAGAUUCGAUGCAUUGUUACCAGCUUAAAGCUAGAGGGGGCCGCGUGGCAAAGAAUAACAGAAAAUGAAUGAAAUAUCCUAGGGCGGAAUUAGAACCAUAGACGUCUUUGGAAGGGGAGCAGGAUGGAGCUCAGGAGAGAAGCAUCUGGGUACAAGUUAAGGAAGUACACCAUGCCUCUGAUGGUUUGGAACCAGAAUAGAUCCCAAGAGGUCCAGGAUCACUGUUGUUGGAGGAGGAAUUGCAGUAUACUUCAAAGAGAAAGGAUUUUUACAUUAGAAAAAUCUGGCAUUACCUAUAUCUUUGCAAUUGGUUAAUCGACCUUCAGUAAGCCCUUAGCUUCCUGUUGAACAAGAGUGUCUAUUUCUCAAUGGGUAAUAGGACGAAGCGAGCUCACUGCAGCCUCAAACUCCUUGGUGCAAGGGAGCCUCCUGCCUCAGAUGUGUCAGAAAAGCAGGCCGGUAGAUCAAACGCCCAG